AUUUUUGUCAGUGCAAAUGGUGUGACCAGGAUGGAUUCUCCGGUGUCACUUAAUAGGGAAUGAAGUGAAAAUCUUCAGCAGUGCCGCUACUGUGAUGGGUAUAGUGCCCAAGCCAGAUACCUGCCUUUGCGUAAAUCACAGA
rnacentral:ncRNA from 2 species